CACACCACACACAUAGACACACACAGUUUAUCUCCAUAUUUAUCUCCUCCCUUGUCUCUGUAGCCAGUUGCACCUAUGGGCUGGUAUGAGAUGAGGUGAGCGAUGCCAUAAAUACCUUUGUUUGGGAUCUUUGUUUCCACCCCGAGGACAAGGGACGGUGCACUUCACUGUUCACCCAUGCUGGCUGUGUUUGUCAAAGUUAGUCGAACUUUGGUGACGUGUUCGGCGCAGGUUUGAAACGGGAUCGACGCUGUCUGCGAGACGCAUCAUUGAAACUGUUCUGUUGGCUGUGUAUGCCUGGAGAGAGUUAGDGAUAUGUGAAUUCGUCCAUAGUUGCCAAUAUAUCUUGGCUAGUAGAAAGGGUUGGAAGCAAUUUUUCAACUAAKCAGGGCCUCGUUUCCCAGAGCCUUUGUAGCGUUAAUAUCAUCGUUAGAACCUUCUUACGAUGUAGCUUUAGUAGCCCAGGUGUUUCCCAGAGCCUUUGUUAGUAAAGCGGCUCUGAAAAACCUUUGCACAUCUCUGAGUGAUCCAGACCACUCGUAGAGCAGCCAAGGUGCACCGUUAGAUGCUUUUUUUGCCGUUCCGCGUCACUAUAUUCAUAGUGGAUCUCCGCUAAACAUAGACUCAACAUGUUGAUUCUAUCUGUCUGACUGCGACUGCCGAUAACUUUAGAACGAAGUUGACUACAAAUGCAAAGUAUCCAAAGUAUUUGCAAUUGUUACAAACAAGUGAAGGAUAAAUUAAUGCUUCAAAUGAAAACCGAGACGACUGCAUUAAAAGAUAUAUAGGCUGCAUGGGCCUAUAUAGGCUAUUUCAGUUAUACUGAAAUCUAUUMCAUGUUCAAUCAAUGGAGUUCUAUUUUGCGACUAGGCUACUGUCU